CCUGAUUGGGCAGUCUUCCUGUCUGUGCAAUUACUUGCAAACAUACAGACCAUGCGUGCAUGAAGGCUUGCGGGAUCCAGCUUAGCUCUCUUUAAGAAAUUCCACUUUCACACACACAUCAGAUUUUCUGCCACAAGAUGCUAUUGUAUGCAUCCUAAAAAUUGCUAUUUAAGAUACAAAACUUGAUAAUUCCUGGUAAGGUCAAUGAGAAUUGCUGAUGCUUAAUUUCUCAUAGAGAGGUACCAAAGCAAGGUAUUUUCUGUGUAGCUGAACCCCAUUAGUAUUACGGAGAUAAUGGCAUGUGCACUGGAAGGAAAAUAGCCGGCUCAAAGAUGAGAGGAGACCACAUUUUUACGUAAUCAGCAGUUCAGCUAUUGAUUUUUUUUAAAGUAAGGCUUCAGCUGAAACCUUUCAGCAGGUGCUGUAACACAGAGCUUCGGGCAGAAGCUGAAUUUCAGGAAAUCAGAUGGAAUCUUAAUUCUACCUUAGAUUUCUGGCUGACCAUUUGUGGACUGCUAAGCACUGUUUCAAGUGACUUGAACCUGAAUUGCAGAUAGUGAACAGAUCACAAAUGGCAAAUGUCAUUUUUUUUAAACAACUCUGGCUGCUAUUUUAUCUGGAAAUCUUUUUUUUUUUAAGAUUCCAGCUUCAUCUGGUUGGGUCAACUCAAAUGCAAUUAAAUUCAAGAGAGCUAAACUCCAUUUUUAGUGUUCACAUCAAUUAGUAGAUCAAGUUAAAGACAGGUAGACACAUCUAGGAGCUUAUUUUGAUCUGCAAACUCAUGUCAAGGUUGCAGACUGUCUGGACUCGAGUGUUACUUUGUUAUUUAACUUGACUUCAUAACUCAAAGUGAAAACUUAAGUCUCAUUCUUGCAAAUACAAGAGACUAUUGUUGCUGAUCUCCACCCUCUAGAGUCUGGCAUGCAGAGAAGGUGGAAAAAUCUGGGCAUGGAGUGUUUACUACUGGAACAAAACACUCCAACAAGAAAUUUGCUUGUAUAGAAGCGAGGGUAACCCGGAGGUGCAGGCAUCUACUUAUACGCCGUAUGGAUGCAUUUUGAUAAUAACCACACGAGGGCAGAAAAGAACAGACAUCUGCGGACAGCCAGACGGCAGCCUGAUUUAAGAGAAGCGUCAAGUUCUGAUAUUUUUGUAAGGGAUUUUCUAUAUUUAUCCAUUCAAACGCACACACAUCUGGAAUUAUUUAAAUAUAAAUAUAUCGAUAGAACACAUGUACACAGUGAAUAUAUAUUUAUAGUGUGCAUUUGUAAAUAUGUAUUUCUGGCAAGUAUGAGGAAAAUCGGUUUGGUUUUAAUUUUGGAUUGGCCUCAGUAAGGAUCUGAGAAUAACAGAGGCAUAAAAACAACUGAACCAUAUUUCCCUCUCAUUAACAUAAGCUGACAGUGCUUUCUUCAGUCUUUACUACUGUACAGGUAGGAGGCUGCGAUUAAGCAAGACAAGGAUCAAACUCUGAAAUGGGGAGACCCAUACAAUCAUAAGGGUUUCCAUGAUCAGGGACACCCCCAUUUUACGAGCUUCAGAUGUCCUGUACUGAGCAACUGGAAGAAGCGAGUUUUGGUCAUAUAAAGCACAAGUCAAAAAAACGAACUUUGUUAUUACUAAUCUACACAGUUACACUGAAUACAUGGUGCAUACCAGUAUUUAAAAUCUCCCAGCCUCACUAAAUCAAAGUGAUCUCAGAUAUGCAAUACAUUUUUAUAGGCAGCCUUGUAAAAAUUAUUCGUCAUGCUUGUAUGUCUGGAAUGUGUCAACAACACUGCAGGCACUGAACCAGCUGAUAGUAAUUACUGGGGGGGGGGGGGGGGGGGGGAGAAGAAAAGAAAAAGAAUUAGGAGCAAAAUUAACAACUGAAUUAUAUGAGGAAAAUUAAAAGAAGCUUAAUUGAGCAGAAGACCGAAAGCCACUUCCCCAGAAAUCCUAUCCCAGCUUACCAUCUUAUUCCUUGUACAGUGCCAAAUAAACCUAACGUUUCUGUUUCUCGUUGUUUCGAGGAUUAAUUAGUGGCACAACAAUUGGGAAACAAAUAAAAUAACAGAAAAUGCAAAGCAUUGUUAUCAUGAGCUUGAAGGUCCCUGAUCUGAUGUGGGUGCACAAGUGGAUGGCCUCUGCAUUGCGAACUACAUAGAAGCAAUACUUUAAAGGUGGUUGAUUUCUGCUUACCAUUACAUACUUAAAAUGAGGAGAAAAUAAUUGUAAUUAAAGUUUAAAUUAUGUUAUGAUGAAAUUCAAGACACAACUUGUGCUGGUUAAGCACCUCCUACCUUCUAUUGCUCUGUGGGGCACACUUCAUAGCUCGUUACUGAAGGGCAGCUGCAACACAAACAGCAAGAGCCCACCAGUGCUACAGAUGCUGCAGUACCUGUGAGUAACAACAGCUCGAUCACCACAAAUACUUAAUUACACAACUGAAGGAGAGAGAACAUGGUGCAAAUAUCAGCAACCUGAUGCUAAGCUGUGUUUUCUUUAGUGCUUAUUGCAAGCGAGAGUAACACAAUAUGUCGGUGCUCAUUGGGCUGAGGGUCUGAGCCUCCGGCCUGGAUGACACAUUGCAGUACAGCACCCAGUACCUCUCCUCAUCCCCUGGUUUAAGCAUGAUGGGGACCAACAUUUCACACAGUCUAAUAGUGACAGGAUACAUGAGAAUGGCUUUAAACUGAAAGAGGGGAAUCUUAAGUUACAUGUUCAGGAGUUUUUUACUCAGAGGGAGGUGAGGCCCUGGCAUAGGCUGUCCAGAGAAGCUGCAGCUGCCCCAUCCCUGCAGGCAUUCAGAGGCCAGGCCAGAUGGAGUCCUGAGCAGCCUGGUCUGCUGGGGCAGCCCUGCCCACAGCAUGGAGUUGGGACUGGAUGGUCUUUAAGGUCCCUUCCAACCCAAGCCAUUGUGGGAUUCUGCAGGGAGAAAAGCAGCACUCCUGGCAUGCCCCAGUGACACCCAGAAUGGGGCACUGGGAUUGCAGGGGGUGCCCUCAGAUGUCUGCACACAGAACCUAGAUGUAGCCUGCACUACUCAAAGCAAUCCAGUAGUUUGCUUUUCCCUUUUUUUUUCUUUUUUCCUCCAUGGUUAGCUGCUCAGAAGAAAUAGAGCUGAAGCAUGGUUUGUGCCAGCUUUGCUGGAGACAAGCAGCCCUGUGCAAGAGAAGCAUUUCUUUCUCUCCCUCUUAUAUUCUGCACUCACUUAAGGAGCAAACAUACAUACAUCAGUAUUGGGAACUUGUGUCUCAAGUGUUGACUUCUUUCUGAGCUCCUGACCUCACCUGGAGAGGAGGGAGUUGAGAACCACAGCAGAACACUGAACCUGCCAGGACCCAAAUAGCCUUUAAGGGAAAGUAAGGGGAAACAACAAGAAGAGAUUUGAAGAAGUGCCUGUGAUCAAUCACCACACAGCCACUGUCUAAGUUGAUCUCUCACAAACGCACUGAAGCUCUUAAUGACUGUAUUGAUAUAAACAUAGCUGCUUCAUUAUGAAAUAAUAAUAAUAAUAAAAAUAAAUACUAAUUUUCAAAUUUUUUUAAAAAGAAUCUGGUUCUCUAAUCACCUGAGGGGAGAAAACUACAUAAUUUAGAUGUAUGACAUUUGCCCUUCCCACCAUCCAGUAACAACUACCUGUGGCAACAUUGGCAAACUCAUUACAGCUGCUCUUGUCUGUAGGUGGACCAUUUUUUCUGGAAGUUGGUCAGCAGGGUUGAAUUGCUUUGAUUUUAUGCAGCAAAAGAUGGUCAGUAACAAAGUCUGUACCAAACUCCAGCAUCACCUGAGAUUUUAAUGACUUUAAUGGCCAAAAUAUUGGUUUGCAACCUAAGAGCUCUUGCUAAAAUGUAAUUGUAAUGUGUAGCCUUAAAAAUAUUAUUAAAAAAAAAAAACAACCAACAACAGCACAGGAUAAUGGUAAUCUUGACACUGGAAAAGUACUUUAAUUCACAAAGGAAACAUACAGAAACCUAUUUUGUUGGUUAAGCAGAAUCAUAUCCACAUGCGAUUCGGAAGGUAUUGGAAAGCUUGGUGAAGAAUUGUACUAAUUUCGGAGUUAAUCAAUUGCACAGUGCUGGGACAGACUGCAGCUGGGGAGGCCUCGACAGUGGCAAUGGGAGGCAGAAAUGCUAAAGUGAGGGGAUGACUGAGCAGGCAAAAGGAGUUGAUUUAUAAGUCUGAUUUAACUUUUGUGCCUGGAGACAUAUCACAAGGGGUAGAAGAUUAAUUUGUCUUUUAAAUGAAUUUUAAAUAGUUAAUUUGUCCAUAAAACAAAGCAUGCUUUGAUUUAGAAUAUAUUUCUCCAUUGUUUGCCUUUGUUCAAAAAAUAGCCAUAUUUCUGAUGGCUAUCAGUACAACAAUAUUCUUAGUAAAAAUGCCAGUCAGAAUUCAUUAGUAGGUCAUAUGAAUAUAUCGUGCACAUCAAGGAAAAUAAUAGAAAAAUAACCAGGAUAUAAGUGGUUUUCUGCAAUUUGAUGGCAGCAGUCACACUUAACAUGUACAGCUGCUGCUUUGCUGCUACCAUGGGAUGUGGUUGUUGCUUCCCUUCCGAUGGCACAAGUUUAAAGCAAGCAUACACUACCACUGAUCAAAACAUUAAGUUUGACAGCUCCUGUAAGGACGCCCUGCCAGAGCUUGUCAUUAACAGGGGAAGAUACUCUGAGGCACUGACUAACAGGACAAACAUGGAAAACAAAGGCUACAAGCAUUAUGCACAGCUAUUGCAGUGAUGCUUCAACACGAUUUAUCUAUCUGCUAAAGCAGGCAUUUUUCUGACAUUAAUAUCUGGACUGACAUUCAGACUAAGUUGUCUUCUAUCUUUUCAGUGAAAUAUUUAACAGCUUUAGCUGCUUGCACUGUUUCUUUUACUAAAAAUGCUGUUAUUCAAAUUUGAUAGGAUUGUAUAGCCUUUCUGUCUUUUACGUGCUACUAUUUUCUUCUGUAAUAAAUUCAAAUCUGUUUUAGAGGAAACUGCUUUUUGUUUGAAACUGGUGAGUUUAAAAUAAAUAUUCUGUGAAACAGUUUCCAUCCACGAUGAUCCCGAACACCUCCUGCUCACACUCUUGCUAUGUAUUAUCUUGCUAAUGAUAGGAAUAAAU
ensembl:lncRNA